rnacentral:rRNA from 1 species
GAACCGUACGAACGUUAUUCGGAAUUACUGGGCUUAAAGGGUGCGUAGGCGGCUUGGAAAGUUGGGGUGUGAAAUCCCUCGGGCUCAACCGAGGAAUGGCGCCCAAAACUGCCAGGCUUGAGGGAGACAGAGGUGAGUGGAACUUAGGGUGGAGCGGUGAAAUGCGUUGAUAUCCUAAGGAACACCAGUGGCGAAAGCGACUCACUGGGUCUCUUCUGACGCUGAGGCACGAAAGCUAGGGGAGCGAACGGGACUAGAUACCCCGGUAGUCCUAGCUGUAAACGAUGAGCACUGGGUCGGAGAGCCUUCCAUAGCUUUCCGGCCGAAGCGAAAGUGUUAAGUGCUCCGCCUGGGGAGUAUGGUCGCAAGGCUG